AAACAUAAUCUUGAAUGAAUGCACCGUUCAAGUUAUUCUACUGUAGUCUACAAUGUAUUUGGAUGGUGCUGUUACUGUCACGGUUUUGGAUGCUGCUUUAAAAUUAACUACCAUUCUGUAUUCAAUGGUUUUGUAUGCUUCCUGAUCUACCUGCCAUUUCCUUUUUUUUAUUUUGUUAUGUCUCAUCUUAAAAGGCCUCUAGAAGCAUACUUCCAUAAAAUCCUGACCUUUCCUUUCAUAUUCGAGCCUCUUAGGGAUUCAAACAGCCACCAAUCGACAUGCCUAUGACGGCAAAUUUUGUGAUAAAAAAAGGCUAAGCAAUCUUCUCAUCAUUGUCUAGCAAGGGAGCAAUGUAAGAAGAUGUGAUCCAGGGAUUCAUCAUUUCCUUUGAAUUGUUUCUUGUGCAUUUAAGCUUCUAUGAGCCAUAGACCAUGAGAAAAAUUUCAACUUUCUUGAAUUUUUGAAAUCCCAAAUUUACUUUGUCAACGUGCUUUUAAAUAGUUGUCUUGAGGUUGCCAAAUUAAAAACUAGGGACUUGGUGGAAAAAGCUCCCAAAGAGUUCAAGGACCAGCUAAUAUUAUCCUCUCGUUCACCCAAAUGAAAGCCUUCCAGCUUCUCUUCGAGUUCAAUCCAGGCCUGGAGUUCUAUAUCAAAUAUCCCUCUUCUGAUCCCCAGAUCCCAGGUCUCCUGAAUUCCAUCCCUACAUUUGGCCAAUGUAGCUUCCUCUUUUAGGGAGAGAUUAGAAAUAUCCGGGAAGGCAGCUUGAAGAGAGGAUUUCUCAGCCAUAUGUCUUUCCGAAAACCAAUCCUUGGCACAUUUCGAGCUUUGAAUCUUGUGAAUCUCUCGUCAGGGGACUGGGGAGCAAAUUUGGCAAUGUGAAACGAAGGUCUGUUCUUGGAGCGACUUUUAGGUUGUGAAGCCGGCAACCGAGAGGUUCUUCCCCAUAAAUGCUAGCCUUCACCUGUUUCAGUGGAGAGCCUUCAGCACCACUUAAUAAGAAUACUAGCUGAAUUUCUAUACUUAAGUGAGCCAAUACCCAAUCCUCCUUGACAGAGGGGGAGGGCACUGAUUUUCCACUCACAAGAUGACUUCUAACUUUAAAAUCACCCCCAUUCCAAAAGAAAUCUCUAAUAAACUUUUCCAUGCUAUUAAUGCCACCCACAAAUGUUUUAAGAAGGGAAAAGAAGUAAAGAAGCAAACCAUUGAGAACCAAAUUUAUUAGAGAUAAACGCUUCCCUUUCAAAAGCAUAGAGUUCUCCCCCUUAGCAAAUUUACCCUUGAAGUUUCCAAAAAGAGAGAGAACGGUGCUUACCUCCAAGGGGGAAUCCAGGUAAUUUAUAGAGAGAGACUCAGCUUUAUGACCUAAUCCAUUUGUCUACGCAGCCAUCUCCUGGUCAUCAAUACUAAUCUCAAUCAGUGAGGUUCUGGAGACAUUUAGGCUAAAGACCCAAAUAACAGAGGAAAAGGGACCUCACUCUCCACCAAUUCUUCCAGGAUAUUCUUCCCCCAGACAAAAAAAAUAAUUGUCAUCAACAUAUUGCGAAGGAUAAAUAACCACAUUCUAACUCCCCACUGUCUAGCCUCUCAAGAUUCUUCUCUUCGAGCAAAUGUGGAUCAAUGGACUGAAAGCAUCACCCUUCAAAGUGAAAAGGAGGUAUCUCCAUGUCUCAAUCCCUUUCUAGCUAAGAUUUUACCAUGAGGUUUUCUGUUUAUAAUGAUUGAAUAACUAACUGGGGGCAGACAGCCCCAAUUCCAGCUUCUGCAUCUACUGCCAACGCCUUUUUUUAGCUAAAAUAACAUUGAGGAAGAACCAAUCAACCUUAUUGUAGGCUUUUCAACAAUCGAGUUUCAGCAAAUACUCCUUUUUCUUAGCUUUACAGUCGCCCACCAACUCCAAAGCUAUAAGAAUCGCGUUGAGCAUUUGCUUCCCUUCCACAAAUGUGACUUGAGUAUUCACAAUGAUGUACAGGAAGAGGCUCACACCACAACCUCCAUCGAGAUUAACUCCUUCUAACGUAAAGCUCUCAUCAGUAUGUCAAUCUUGAAAGUGCCCUUAAUAGCUCGAAGUCGGCAUAGAGGUGGAGAGCCUAAUCUUUAAUCUUGAAGCCACCUCACAGAUUUUUUCCAAAUUCAGAAGAUUGGUAUGUUUUUUCUUCAUCCACCACUGAAAAAGCGGGCUUUCACCUACAAAUAGGAAUGUUGAAGUCCGCCUCUUUAGCACACAACCCUAAACUUUUAUUCCAAUCUCUUUUCCUCAGUUCAAAGAAGACGCUUAUACUUUCCUUCAAACCCAACUCCUCUCCCUCUUAGCUUCACUAAGAUUUCCAUCUUCUUGAGAUUUAGUGUACAGAAGAAUCUUAAAUUUUUUUCAUUAUGAUCCUUCCUUCCUUUCAACUCUCCCAGCCUGUCGUAGAGGCUGGGAGAUUUUGAAGGAUGUUGUAACCACAUUCUCGAACUUAAAACAAGGAACCACUUAACUAUCCCAUAGCAGAGGAUGCUAAGGCAAACAGUUGGCAUUAAUUCCAUGGCUUAAACACCAUAAUUGCCUAACUUGUCUAACAACCCUUUAUGAAAUUGGAGUAUCAGUAUGCAGUUUUCAUUAAUUUUGCUUGUCCAAUCAGAGAUCACUGAAAACAUUAUGGACGAUUCUGUAUAUUAGCCUUUUUUAUAUCUGUAUUAGCCAUGGUUUUAGUUAUUGAUCUGUUGCUUUUGUGUGCAAUUUGGGAAAUUUGGUUCUCUAGUUUGAGGCUGCUUGCCCACAAAAUAUUGCUUUAAUUGCCAUGUAUGGUAAUUUGCAGACUUCCCUGUGUAUACUUUGUUGCUGUAUCAAACAGUGAAGUCCAUGCAAUUUUUGAAGGAGAAAUAAUUGAUCUUUGUUAUUACAUAUUUUAUAGGUUCUUUGUUAUUUACUAAUAUCUGAU